CAGAGACUGCAAGCGUUAUUCGGAUUCACUGGGCGUAAAGAGUGCGUAGGCGGUGAGAUGUGUCAGGCGUGAAAUCUCAAGGCUCAACUUUGAAAUUGCACCUGAAACUAUCUCGCUUGAGAGCUGGAGAGGGUAGCGGAAUUCACGGUGUAGCAGUGAAAUGCGUAGAUAUCGUGAGGAACACCAAUGGCGAAGGCAGCUACCUGGACAGCAACUGACGCUAAAGCACGAAAGCGUGGGGAGCAAAAGGGAUUAGAUACCCCUGUAGUCCACGCCCUAAACAUUGCACACUAGGUUUUGGCGGAUUCGACCCCGCCGGGACCCAAGCUAACGCGUUAAGUGUGCCGCCUGAGGACUACGGUCGCAAGACUA
rnacentral:rRNA from 1 species